rnacentral:rRNA from 1 species
CCACCUGCAGUUGAAAGGGGAGGGGAGGGGAGGGAGGCGGAAGUAGAAGUGCCGCAGUGGUGAGGAAACGAAAAUGACCAUUCAAGAUUUGACGCCGACGACGACGACGACGAUGCGAGAAGGAGAAAAGAGGAGAGCGGGCGGGCGGGCGCGAGGGCGGCAACCAAGGCGUGGCGAUCGAUCGAAGGAACGAGCGCUCCCGUGGCGGGCACUCGGCACUAAGCCCCUAAACCUAGGCGCGCCUGGAACCUAAAGGGGAACAAAUAUCCGGCCAGCUCGCCACGGACAACGUCCGGAACCCUAAGCCGGACCUAGCCGCGUCUAGACCUCCGUGUACUCCGCCGCCGCGGCCGCCCACUCGUAUGCUCCUACACUUCGCUGAACAUCUCCCUCUUCAUCGCCUCAGUCGCUACCCCACGAACCCGCCACUCCGCUGAGCCCCGCGACUAGGACCUGCGUGGACACCGCGGCCUCCUCUACCUCCUGCACCGGCACCGACGCGAGCGGUGCCGCGGGUGUGGACACAAAUCGGGGCGGUGCCGGCCCGAGUGCGAUUAGCGGCGGCGCCGACGCCUUGGCUAACGCCGGCAACACCGCCCGCGGUACCUCCCCCACGGCCAGUGGAAAAGUCACGGCGGCCAGUCUUGGUGGUGCCUACUGCCCGACGGUCGCCGUUGUCCUCCCCUUCCCCCUCUCCGCAGCCGUCGCCCCUCGGGCACGAGCCAGUGGUCGCUGACGUCGUCGCACCGUUCGCGCCUAAAGCUUCCCCACCCAGACCCGAAGAAGCCACGCCCCCAGCUCCCCCCUCGCCACCACAAGCUCCUGAGCCGCCGAAGACGCCGGUGGCAGCUCCGCCUCCGCUCCCAGCGCCGGCCCCCCUCCUCGCAGAAGCGACAGCUUACGCAAGGUGAGACCCCCAAAUGUAGUUAAACGCCGGCGGCGGGCCUCUACCUCCUACGCCAGUAGCGACACGGCGCUAAGAAGCCGAACGGGGAGACCUACGAGUGCCCGUUGUUAUACCAGCUACCUGAGCUAGGGUAGAGGAAGGCGGAGGGGCGCGUGAAAAAACCACAUAUACUACCGGUGCCGCCACGUGUCCAUCGUCUAAUGACAGCCCUAGCCGAGGUGCGUCGCGACCACCUCCUCGACUCGUCCUAUCUUCCCAGGCACAGACCACGAUUGGACCCUCGACACCUCAAGUUCUUCGUCACCCUCUUCCGCAAACACCUAACGAAGAGUUCCCACCUACUACUCUAUCGGCCAUUCCACUGGUCGCCUCCUCCCCCUUUGCACCCGUGUUCGUCACAGUGACGUUACCCGUACCAUCUAGGACAUCGUGGGCUCUGGCAGCCAAGUUGCCGCCACCAGCGACAGUAGACGAGGAGAGUAUAGUAACAGAGUUUAACACCUCUGAGCUCCCGUCACGAGACGGCACCGUUCGUUGGGCACGGCAACAGUCACCUAGUAUUUGGAUUAUCCCUCCUACUCAUGCGUUCCUAACUCCGUCUCCCACCGUUCCAGUAUGUCACCUUACCGAUGGCUCAAAAGCCACAGGAACGGUACAGCGCCAGUUAACCACUGUCUAUAGACUUUGGUACCUAUUAAGGACAGGGUCUCCAGUGUUAACAAGGAGCUCGUUUCCUACUGCUCACAGAAUAAGAGCGAUCACUACCGGAGACCCUACAUGACAGCUUACUUCUCCAUACGCUACAACGGGCGUUCGCUUAUGAGAAUACCGUAUUUUUCUUACCCCAUUUGAACAGUAGCCGGGUUGCAUCGCCACUGAGGGGUCUAGGUCGCCGAGUUCGUCGACGACUUACGAACAGCUUCGAACGAGAGGUCUUCCCCUCGUUCCUGUUGUAGUGCCAAUAACACCAUCUGGAGUUCCGCGUCUCCUUCAAGUUCUCGUUUUGAAUUCAGUAGAACGAACUAACUGUCGGAGAUACUGUUUAAGGAUCCUUAGAUAUAUCUAAACCUCUUAGGUUUAAGCUAGUCAAAUCUGACAACACAAUCAUGUAAUGAAUCGGGUCAAGCAAGAAAAGAAGGAAAAGUGGUAAACCCGACGGUUCCCGACAUAAGAACAUAUGUCAUGUCUAAUGCUUUAAGGCGUAGUCCCAAAUACAAAGGACCACCGCACCCACUAGGACAAAAGACAAGAAGGAAACGACGGGGAAUAAGAAAAACAAUUCGACCCGGUAGUACAUAGACCUUUACAUAUAAACUCGGACAUCCCACGUUUUCCUUGAUCCUCAUAAAACAUGACGGAAGGGA